AGCGGCGGACGGGUGAGUAACGCGUGGGUAACCUGCCCUAUACACAUGGAUAACAUACUGAAAAGUUUACUAAUACAUGAUAAUAUAUAUUUGUGGCAUCGCAGAUAUAUCAAAGUGUUAGCGGUAUAGGAUGGACCCGCGUCUGAUUAGCUAGUUGGUGAGAUAACUGCCCACCAAGGCGACGAUCAGUAGCCGACCUGAGAGGGUGAUCGGCCACAUUGGAACUGAGACACGGUCCAAACUCCUACGGGAGACAGCAGUGGGGAAUAUUGCACAAUGGGCGAAAGCCUGAUGCAGCAACGCCGCGUGAACGAUGAAGGUCUUCGGAUCGUAAAGUUCUGUUGCAGGGGAAGAUAAUGACGGUACCCUGUGAGGAAGCCCCGGCUAACUACGUGCCAGCAGCCGCGGUAAUACGUAGGGGGCUAGCGUUAUCCGGAUUUACUGGGCGUAAAGGGUGCGUAGGUGGUCCUUCAAGUCGGUGGUUAAAGGCUACGGCUCAACCGUAGUAAGCCGCCGAAACUGGAGGACUUGAGUGCAGGAGAGGAAAGUGGAAUUCCCAGUGUAGCGGUGAAAUGCGUAGAUAUUGGGAGGAACA
rnacentral:rRNA from 1 species